AGAGUUUGAUCCUGGCUCAGAACGAACGCUGGCGGCGUGGAUAAGACAUGCAAGUCGAACGAGAGAAUUGCUAGCUUGCUAAUAAUUCUCUAGUGGCGCACGGGUGAGUAACACGUGAGUAACCUGCCCCCGAGAGCGGGAUAGCCCUGGGAAACUGGGAUUAAUACCGCAUAGUAUCGAAAGAUUAAAGCAGCAAUGCGCUUGGGGAUGGGCUCGCGGCCUAUUAGUUAGUUGGUGAGGUAACGGCUCACCAAGGCGAUGACGGGUAGCCGGUCUGAGAGGAUGUCCGGCCACACUGGAACUGAGACACGGUCCAGACACCUACGGGUGGCAGCAGUCGAGAAUCAUUCACAAUGGGGGAAACCCUGAUGGUGUGACGCCGCGUGGGGGAAUGAAGGUCUUCGGAUUGUAAACCCCUGUCAUGUGGGAGCAAAUUAAAAAGAUAGUACCACAAGAGGAAGAGACGGCUAACUCUGUGCCAGCAGCCGCGGUAAUACAGAGGUCUCAAGCGUUGUUCGGAAUCACUGGGCGUAAAGCGUGCGUAGGCUGUUUCGUAAGUCGUGUGUGAAAGGCGCGGGCUCAACCCGCGGACGGCACAUGAUACUGCGAGACUAGAGUAAUGGAGGGGGAACCGGAAUUCUCGGUGUAGCAGUGAAAUGCGUAGAUAUCGAGAGGAACACUCGUGGCGAAGGCGGGUUCCUGGACAUUAACUGACGCUGAGGCACGAAGGCCAGGGGAGCGAAAGGGAUUAGAUACCCCUGUAGUCCUGGCAGUAAACGGUGCACGCUUGGUGUGCGGGGAAUCGACCCCCUGCGUGCCGGAGCUAACGCGUUAAGCGUGCCGCCUGGGGAGUACGGUCGCAAGAUUAAAACUCAAAGAAAUUGACGGGGACCCGCACAAGCGGUGGAGUAUGUGGCUUAAUUCGAUGCAACGCGAAGAACCUUACCUGGGCUUGACAUGUAAUGAACAACAUGUGAAAGCAUGCGACUCUUCGGAGGCGUUACACAGGUGCUGCAUGGCCGUCGUCAGCUCGUGUCGUGAGAUGUUUGGUUAAGUCCAGCAACGAGCGCAACCCCUGUUGCCAGUUACCAGCACGUGAAGGUGGGGACUCUGGCGAGUCUGCCCAGAUCAACUGGGUGGAAGGCGGGGACGACGUCAGGUCAGUAUGGCCCUUAUGCCCAGGACUGCACACGUACUACAAUGCCCAGUACAGAGGGGGCCGAAGCCGCGAGGCGGAGGAAAUCCUGAAAACUGGGCCCAGUUCGGACUGUAGGCUGCAACCCGCCUACACGAAGCCGGAAUCGCUAGUAAUGGCGCAUCAGCUACGGCGCCGUGAAUACGUUCCCGGGUCUUGCACACACCGCCCGUCA
rnacentral:rRNA from 1 species